CUACGGGGGGCUCCAGUGAGGAAUAUUGCACAAUGGGGGGAACCCUGAUGCAGCAACGCCGCGUGGAGGAUGACGCAUUUCGGUGUGUAAACUCCUUUUAUAUGUCAAGAAAAUGACGGUAGCAUAUGAAUAAGCACCGGCAUAACUCCGUGCCAGCAGCCGCGGUAAUACGGAGGGUGCAAGCGUUACUCGGAAUCACUGGGCGUAAAGGACGCGUAGGCGGGCUUGUAAGUCAGGUGUGAAAUCCUACAGCUUAACUGUAGAACUGCACUUGAAACUUCUAAUCUAGAGUAUGGGAGGGGGAGAUGGAAUUAGUGGUGUAGGGGUAAAAUCCGUAGAUAUCACUAGGAAUACCUAAAGCGAAGGCGAUCUCCUGGAACAUUACUGACGCUAAGGCGUGAAAGCGUGGGGAGCAAACAGGAUUAGAUACCCUAGUAGUC
rnacentral:rRNA from 1 species